rnacentral:tRNA from 1 species
GAGAAAUUAGUUAAUUUAUAAUAUUUGCUUGUCAUGCCUAAGUUGUCUUAUAGACAUUUCUCA